UUGCAGAGAACGCGGAUGAGACCUUCAGUUUGUGCCCACACUCAUUUGCAGCAACCCUAACAGAGAUUGCGAAGAUUUUCAAAGUGGGGCACCUCGAUUUCUCGAAUCUGUGGUGUGGCGAAUAUCCGUGUUCCUCCUGCUUAACUAGCCUGUUUGGCAGGUCUGAUUCUAUUUAUUCUAAAGACAGAGUUGGAGAUGGGCUACCAUUGGUGUUGAUUGAGAUGACAAGCAGUCACCUGAGCCCAUACAGCUGGUAAGUAGAACAGUACUGGAGAGAUGGCUCAGCAGUUAAGAGCACUGACUGCUCUUCCAGAGAUCCUGAGUUCAAUUCCCAGCAACCACAUGGUGGCUCACAAACAUCUGUAAUGAGAU
rnacentral:lncRNA from 1 species